UACAGAGGUCUCAAGCGUUGUUCGGAUUCAUUGGGCGUAAAGGGUGCGUAGGCGGCGCGGUAAGUCGGGUGUGAAAUCUCGGGGCUUAACUCCGAAACUGCAUUCGAUACUGCCGUGCUUGAGGACUGGAGAGGAGACUGGAAUUUACGGUGUAGCGGUGAAAUGCGUAGAUAUCGUAAGGAAGACCAGUGGCGAAGGCGGGUCUCUGGAUAGUUCCUGACGCUGAGACGCGAAAGCGUGGGGAGCAAACAGG
rnacentral:rRNA from 1 species